rnacentral:rRNA from 1 species
AUUGAACGCUGGCGGCAUGCCUUACACAUGCAAGUCGAACGGUAACAGGUCUUCGGAUGCUGACGAGUGGCGAACGGGUGAGUAAUACAUCGGAACGUGCCUAGUAGUGGGGGAUAACUACUCGAAAGAGUGGCUAGUACCGCAUGAGAUCUACGGAUGAAAGCAGGGGAUCGCAAGACCUUGUGCUACUAGAGCGGCCGAUGGCAGAUUAGGUAGUUGGUGGGAUAAAAGCUUACCAAGCCGACGAUCUGUAGCUGGUCUGAGAGGACGAUCAGCCAAACUGGGACUGGGACACGGCCCAGACUCCUACGGGAGGCAGCAGUGGGGAAUUUUGGACAAUGGGCGAAAGCCUGAUCCAGCAAUGCCGCGUGCAGGAUGAAGGCCUUCGGGUUGUAUACUGCUUUUGUACGGAACGAAAAGCCCCGGGUUAAUACCCUGGGGUCAUGACGGUACCGUAAGAAUAAGCACCGGCUAACUACGUGCCAGCAGCCGCGGUAA